rnacentral:rRNA from 1 species
GAUGAACGCUAGCGACAGGCUUAACACAUGCAAGUCGAGGGGCAGCGGGGGAGUAGCAAUACUCCCGCCGGCGACCGGCGCACGGGUGAGUAACACGUAUGAAACCUGCCCGUAGCAGGGGGAUAAGCGGAAGAAAUUCCGUCUAAUACCGCGUAACAACCCAUGGAGGCAUCUCCGUGGGUUUAAAGGAAGCGAUUCCGGCUACGGAUGGUCAUGCGUCGCAUUAGCUUGGUGGCGGGGUAACGGCCCACCAAGGCGACGAUGCGGAGGGGUUCUGAGAGGAAGGUCCCCCACACUGGUACUGAGACACGGACCAG